AUUACAUCACUGUUUCUCAAACCCUAACAAACAAGCAUUUCUAUUCUCUCUCACCGUAAGAUCAAAAGGGUUUCAUGGAUUACUUCAAGUUUCUUCCACUGGAGAUUAAACUAGACAUAUUUACUCGCGUACCAGCGGAAUCUGUCCUCGACUGUAAAUCAGUAUGCUCAAAUUGGUUAGGUGUUGUUCGUCAUCCGUUGUUCUCGAAGAUGCACAUACAUCGUCAUCUUAAUCGUGCUGAUGAUUCGGGUAUGUUGAGUUUUAUUGCUUAUAGUUCUGAUGAUGAAAAAUUUCACUAUUUUGAAUGUACUGAAAAUUAUGAUGAAUCAACAACACCCGUUAAGAGAAUUAAAAUGCUUAAUUUAACAUCUCCAUUCAAGGAAAGUUGCUCUUUGGUAGGUUCUUCUAAUGGGUUGAUCUGUCUUGAAGCGGAAUCUGUUUGUAUUUGUAACCCUAUUACCAGGGAAUAUGUUAUGCUUCCACAACUUAAGAAAACGAAAUAUUCUUAUGUGUCUGUGGCCGGAUUUGGUUAUGUUUCUUCAACUAGAGAGUACAAAGUUGUAGGAAUACGUCAUGAGUUCAAAACGGAGUCUGCAGAACUCUACGUUUACACUCUAGGCUCUGGAAAAGGAUGGAGGAAACUUACUUCUCAAUUAUCCGUUCUCUCUGAUUGGGAUGGAGCAGGUAUCUUUGCCGAUGGAGCACUUUAUCGGCUGGAUUCUGAACUACAAUUUAUCCUUACCUUCGAUUUGGCUGAAGAGAAGUUUUGUGAACAUCUUUCAUUACCUCCUUUACCACAAGACAGUGAUGAGUGUGAUCAUGGAAUUGGUGUUCUGAAUGGGUUUUUGUAUUUUGGUGUACGUGACGAAAUGGACGGACUUUAUAAUGUAUGGCUUUUAAAAAAGAAGAUUGAUAACCAUGACAUGGAAGGGCGAGAUGAACGUCAGUCAUUGGGUUGGAGUAAAGAGUUUAAGGUUGAUGGAAUCAAUUUAUUAGCCAUUACGAAGAGUAAAUGUGUUUUAAAUCACGCCAGCAACCGCUAUCUCAACAUUUAUGACGCAGAAACUUCUACCUCAAAAAGGCUUGUGAAGUUUAAGAAUGGGAUUUCUGAAGUAUAUCCUCACAAGAACACCUUAGUUUCAUUGAAAGAACUAGGGGAAGAAGAUACAAAAACAAUGGAGUCAGUUGGAAUUGAGGAAACAAGAAGUAGCGGCUCCAGGAGGAUGCGGACCUAUAAACUGGUGUCUGCCGUGGGUUAGAUGCAUCCCGUCAAUAGCAGUUGAUGCAGAGCAAGCUGAAGCAGUGGCAAUAUAUGCUGCUAUUAGCUAGGUGGGCAAUGGAAAAGGGAGCUACAAGAAUCCAACUAGUCGAAGGAUGCAGUCAACAGGAUUCAUAAUAAUUUGAUGAGAGACUGUUUUAAGUUAUUACAAAAUUUUGGUUCUUGGACGUCUUCUUACACUCCAAGAGAGGCUAAUAAUGCUGCUCAUUUGCUAGCAAAACAUUCAGCAAAGAGUAAAAGGGUUUCAUGGAUUACUUCAAGUUUCUCCCGGUGGAUUCCUGCCGAAUCUGUCCUCGACUGUAUGCUCAAAUUGGUUGUGUUGUUCGUCAUCCGUCAUUUUCGAAGAUGCAUUUCCAUCGUCAUCUCAAUCAUGCUGAUGAUUCCGGUAUGUUGGGUUUCAUUGCUCAUACUUAUCCUGAUGAAAGAUUUCACUAUUUUGAAUGCAAUGAAAACCAUGAUGCGUUAACCUCCCCAUUUAAUAAGAGUACGAGCUUUGCAGGUUCUUCUAAUGGGUUGAUCUGUCUUGAAGGUCUUGAAUCCGAUUGUUGUAUUUGUAUUUGUAACCCUAUUACCAGGGAAUAUGUUAUGCUUCCAAAACCCAAGGAAAAGACUUAUGUGGCCGGAUUUGGUUAUGUUUCUUCAACUGGAGAGUACAAAGUGUUAGGACUACAUCAUGAGUUCAACAAACAAGGAAGAGAUGAGUCAGAGUUUGCAGAAGUCUACGUUUACACUCUAGGAUCUGGAAAAGGAUGGAGAAACCUUGGAAAUUUUAUUUCUCAAUUGUCCUUUCUCCAUAUUUCGGAUGGACCUGGUAUCUUUGCCAAUGAAGCACUUUAUUGGCUGGAUUGUGAAUUAGAAUAUAUCCUUACCUUGGAUUUGGCUGAGGAGAAGUUUUGUGAUCAUCUUUCACUACCUAGUUUACCACAAGACGGUGAUUGGUGUCACUAUGGAAUGGGGUUUUGUAUUUUGCUCGUGGUCUACGUAUCAAUCGUGGCAGACUUCAGCGUCUUUGGCUAUUAAAAGAGAAGAUUGAUAACCAUGACAUGGAAGUGCGAGAUGAACGUCAGUCAUUGGGUUGGAUUUGAAGUGUGUAGGGUUGCCAGUGUCAGUUUAUUAGCCAUUACGAAGACAACGAUCACUAUCUCAACAUUCAUGACACAAACACUUCUCUUGUGAAGUUUAAGAAUACGAUUUAUGAAAUAUAUCGUCACAAGAACACCUUAGUUUCAUUGAAAGAAUUAGGGGAAGAAGAUACAAAAACAAUGGAGUCAGUUGGAAUUGAGGAAACAAGAAGGCGUGAGCAGGUACAGGAGGAAUCGGACCCUGAUUACAUAUACUUAUAAACAGGUGUCUGCCAUGGGGUUAGAUGCAUCCUGUCAAUAGCAGUUGAUUCAGCAAGCUGAAGCACUGGCAGUAUAUGCUAGAAGAAUCCAACUAGAGGGAGAUUGCAAGAAUGUAGACGACUUUAUUCAGUUAUUAUAAAACUUUGAUUCUUGGAUGUCAUCUUACUCUCCAAGAGAGGCUAAUUGCUAGCAAAACAUUCAGGUAACCUGCUUUGUAAGGAAGAUUAGGAUGCAAAUCUGCCACAACGGCUUAUGGAUUGCUUACAUUCAGACAUGGUUGUUUCUUAAUUUUAGUAAUGGAAUUCUUUUCGUAUUUAAAA